CUGCAUCAGUCGCUCAUUUCAUCCAUCACAACCACUCAGUUUUUUUCUCUUUUACUUUCUCAUUCUCUCUCUCUCUCUUAUUCUCAGGUUUCCCAUAGCGGCAUGUCCAGAAAUAAAGUUCUUGAGGAGAAUGUCUCUGUUACUAUAGUGCUUCAGGAGAAAUCCGAGUGUCACAACAGAUCAGAAACAAACCAGAGAGUGGCUGCGUGACAUUUGACAUGCUGGCAUGACGCUUGUUACAUCCCAGCGAGGGAGAAGGAACCCACUUAAAUGGAGUGCAGCGCCAAAGAUGUGAACAAGAAAUGCCACUAUUGCAUUUCUUGUAACUUCUCUGCCCAAACCUGCUAAAGUGAUGCACUGUGGAGCCCGCAAGAUGUUUUACACCCCAUAAAUCCUGGAUAUUUGGACAGUUAGCCCGCUGCUGUAUCCUGCAGGGAGCCUGAUUCUUGGUGCACUGUCUCCUCCCGCCUCUACUGACCCUCCACAUUGUAAAUCAGUGCGCCGCUCACUGCAGAAGCCCUCUCUGCUUUAGCCUGUCAUAUUGAAGCUUUACUCUGGCUGGCUAGGGGACUCCUUUCUUCUCCCUCGGCAAACACCGGGUUAGACUCAUAUCAUGUUUCAAGCCAUUACCAGCAAAGCCGAGCCCCGGGAAGGCAAUGAGAGGAGAGCGGUCGGGGGAAUGGAAAGGAGAGGGCCGGAGGAACAGCCAUCCAUCACUCCUUGGCCCCCUGGUCCUCUCACUGCCACUCCACCAAAACACUCACCAGUGAGGACAGGAUGGAGGCAGAAACCUGCCACGCCCAGGUGGGGGUCAGAGCAACCAGACAGAGGAGAGAGCAGACAGGAAUGGAGAGAUGAGAGGAGAGAGAGAGGGGGGGAGCAAGACAGCAAGUCUGGUGGAUUUUAUGUCAUUAGAGCCUUGUGUGACAGCUUCAUCUCCCCCAGCAACAGGCAAAGAGAAAAAUGAAUAUGGGAUGAUGGGUGGUGUCAAUGACGAAGACGCAGAAAAGAUGAGGAGAGGAAAAGAAAGAAAUUAAAGAGCAAGACAAAAAAAAAACAACAACUAGCAAAAAGAGGCAGAGGCAGACAAAGAGACAGGCAGUCAACCCUAAUUGGCACAUUUUGGAUUAAAAUCAGCCCUUUUUCUCAGUGUCAUAAACUCAAACCAGAAACGUCCAUAAAUCCAUUAACAGACCUUCUCAGAAACUGUUUUCUUCUGCUGCUGAUCCUGUUGUUAUCUGUACAUUUAUGGUUAUAGUGAAAACAGGUAGUGGCUAA